UAGGGAAUCUUCGGCAAUGGGGGGAACCCUGACCGAGCAACGCCGCGUGAGUGAAGAAGGUUUUCGGAUCGUAAAGCUCUGUUGUUAAGGAAGAACGAGUGUGAGAAUGGAAAGUUCAUACUGUGACGGUACUUAACCAGAAAGGGACGGCUAACUACGUGCCAGCAGCCGCGGUAAUACGUAGGUCCCGAGCGUUGUCCGGAUUUAUUUGGCGUAAAGCGAGCGCAGGCGGUUAGAAAAGUCUGAAGUGAAAGGCAGUGGCUCAACCAUUGUAGGCUUUGGAAACUGUUUAACUUGAGUGCAGAAGGGGAGAGUGGAAUUCCAUGUGUAGCGGUGAAAUGCGUAGAUAUAUGGAGGAACACCGGUGGCGAAAGCGGCUCUCUGGUCUGUAACUGACGCUGAGGCUCGAAAGCGUGGGGAGCGAACAGG
rnacentral:rRNA from 1 species